rnacentral:rRNA from 1 species
UACGGGGUGGGCAAGCGUUGUUCGGAAUUACUGGGCGUAAAGGGCUCGUAGGCGGCCAACUAAGUCAGACGUGAAAUCCCUCGGCUUAACCGGGGAACUGCGUCUGAUACUGGAUGGCUUGAGGUUGGGAGAGGGAUGUGGAAUUCCAGGUGUAGCGGUGAAAUGCGUAGAUACCUGGAGGAACACCGGUGGCGAAGGCGGCAUCCUGGACCAAUUCUGACGCUGAGGAGCGAAAGCCAGGGGAGCAAACGGG